AAUCCUAGAAUGGUUCACGUGCACAGAAUCCUGUGGAUCCCACCCUACCCCGAUGCAAAACCAGAAACAAACCACAAGCAAGUUGCCCUCUCGUCUGUACAAACAUGCGGAAUUGGGGAUGCCGUCAGAGCAAGUUGCUCAAGAUGACUUCUCUGGGGCCAUGCGUUCCAGCCCCCAGCUCUGUGCUUGAGGGAAUGGUGACUCUAUGUCCUGGACCCGAUGUUGGGGUGGUUCUCAGGGAGGGGAAGGGGGCCAGCCUGGUGGAAGCCAGGUCCCUUGCACAACCUCUCAUGCAGCUUGGUCCCUGUCCCUCGUGGAGGUCCCUGCUCAGGGACCUCUGAGCACAGCUUCUGCUCUAUUUCCUGGACUCUUUGAGUGUGGCAGCUGAGGUCCCCAGCCUGCAGGGAGGGGAUCUCAUGUAAGUCCUUCAGGCUUCAUUCCUAUGCAAGACAGGUAGGCUGCAGGCUCUAACACGCGCCAGCCUGGCUCCACCGAGGCUUCGGCACCAGGGGAAAUUAAAAAAAAAAAAAAAAAA
rnacentral:lncRNA from 1 species